CAGCUCCAGGACAUGUACCUGAGUCGCAAGUCUUUUGCAUUUGAUUGUGAUGCUCCAGGGGCAGGCAUGCGAGAGCAACGCAAGACAUUUGAGCUUGCUCUAGCAACAGCAGAUGCCACAUUCCAGAACCUAGACUCAUCAGAGAUUUCACUAACAGAUGUGAGCCACUACUUUGACUCAGACCCGACAAAGCUGGUGCAAGGACUGCGCAAGGAUGGGCGGGCACCUUCCUCAUACAUAGCAGAUACAACCACAGCAAAUGCACAGGUGAGGACAUUGUCAGAGACAGUGCGCCUUGAUGCAAGGACAAAGCUACUGAACCCUAAGUGGUACGAGGGGAUGAUGAAAAGUGGCUACGAGGGAGUUAGAGAGAUUGAGAAGCGGCUGACAAAUACUGUUGGAUGGAGUGCAACAUCUGGACAGGUUGACAACUGGGUUUAUGAGGAGGCAAAUGCCACA
rnacentral:misc_RNA from 1 species